AUGACCUUCAUCAUCAUCUUCAUCUGGACUCUCACAGCGUUUGCUCAAGAGUGUAGAGGACAGAUCACCGUCACUCAGAGUCCCUCAAUGACAGCAGCUCAACCAGGACAAACUGUGAACAUCAACUGUAAAACCAGCACAGAUGUGUACAGAAGGACUGAUGGGAAUCAGUGUUUAGCCUGGUACUUACAGAAACCUGGAGAAGCUCCUAAACUCCUGAUUUAUUAUACAAACACCCUCCAGUCAGGAACUCCAUCUAGAUUCAGUGGCAGUGGAUCUAACAGUGAUUUCACUCUGACCAUCAGUGGAGUCCAGACUGAAGAUGCUGGACAUUAUUACUGUCAGAGUUACCACUGGAUCAACAGUAAAGCAGUGUUCACACAGUGA